CGUUCCCCCGCCGGCCGCGCCAAACUCUAAAUUUGCAAAGCGGACUGCAUGUUCUGAUUUAAAAGAAAAAACAAGUCAAAACUUUCAACAACGGAUCUCUUGGUUCUGGCAUCGAUGAAGAACGCAGCGAAAUGCGAUAAGUAAUGUGAAUUGCAGAAUUCAGUGAAUCAUCGAAUCUUUGAACGCACAUUGCGCCCGGCAGCAAUCUGCCGGGCAUGCCUGUCCGAGCGUCAUUUCUCCCCUCGAGCGCGGCUAGCCCUACGGGGCCUGCCGCCGCCCGGUGUUGGGGCUCUACGGGUGGGGCUCGUCCCCCCCCGCAGUCCCCGAAAUGUAGUGGCGGUCCAGCCGCGGCGCCCCCUGCGUAGUAGAUCCUACAUCUCGCAUCGGGUCCCGGCGAAGGCCAGCCGUCGAACCUUUUUUACUCAUGGUUUGACCUCGGAUCAGGUAGGGUUACCCGCUGAACUUAAGCAUAUCAAUAA
rnacentral:sRNA from 1 species